ACUCAGCAAGCUUGAACACCUUGCCGGGUAUCAUGCAGUUGAAUAUGGUAGAAGUGGGAAUUGAAGCCAGGUGUGCCUCACUCCAAAGGUUACACCCCUGCUGCCCUGACAAGUAACAAUGGGCCUCUUCCAGUGAAAUGCUUCCGUGGUUGCCUGCUGCUCUUGGUUUUGGUGUCAUCUUGUUUUACGACUUCCCUGCACAUCCUGAUUUGAGGACAAGAACGAACGAGAAGAUUUAAAGUGAAAAAGGACAUUGAGUUGAUUUGAAUGAGAAAUAUAUCUGCAAGGAGAUAGAGCCUUGCUUUGUUCUCUAGGCUGGAGCAUGCUGGCGUGAUCACGGCUCACUGCAGACUCAAGCAACCCUCCAACCUCAGUCUUCUGAGUAGUUGGGACCACAGGGAAAGAGACCUGCAGUUAAAUUUGAAAUGAUGGACAACUUGACCCCAAAAAGACCUUGCUGUAAUUUGAAUUCCUGUUGGCUGUCUGAAAGCAUUCUGCUGGUGCUCCCUGUUGAUUGAAGUCAACCAGAAUCCAGAGAGGAAGUGAGUCCAUUUGGAUAAUCCACGUAGGUCAGACUCUUGGGGGCACAAAUUAGUCUGCAGAAGAAACUACUACACAAUCUACUGGUGUUAACGUUUUACUAGUUUGACCACAGCGUAGAAUAUUACCUCCUAUUUAUAAAUGGUUUAAAUGUUCCUUUCGUGUAGAUUUAGAAGCACUUAAGACAUUAUUAUAGUUUUUACUUCAACACUCAAAUAUACUCUAGAAAACCCAAGACAAGGAAAAUGUAUUAUACAGUCAUGUGCUGCAAGAUGAUGUUUUGCUCAGUGACGGAAUGCAUAUAUGAUGGUCCCGUAAGAAUAUAAUACCAUAUUUUUACUGUAUCUUUUCUAGGUUGUGAUAAAUGAAUUUUUUUCACUGUGUUACAGUUGCCUACAGUAUCCAGUACAAUGACAUGCUAUACAUGUUUGUAGCCUAGGAGCAAUAGGCUAUACCAUACAGCCCAGACGUGUAGUAGGCUAGUCCACUGGGUUUGUGUAAGUAUAGUCUAUGAUGCUCAUGCAAUGGCCAAUUUGCCUAAUGACACAUUUCCCAGAACAUAUCCCUGUCAUUAAAAGAUGCA
rnacentral:lncRNA from 1 species